UUUUAAAAAAAAUGGACGGAUCAUGUGUUUAACACAACGGAGCCAUGUAUGAUUUAUAAAUUCAAUUCGAAGAACAAUUCAUACAAAUAUUGAUAUGAACGCUAAUAUAAGAAUAUCAAAAUAACAAGUUAUAACAAAUAGGUCUAUCACAAUAAAAAUCAUGGCAUGUCAUUUAUGGAAAUAAAUAAAAGUCGUAAAUACAUGUAACAAAACAAAUAUGCGAAUGUGUAAAAUGUAAAAUUUUGUAAUUUAUGAGUAAAACAUUACAAAUAUCAGCAAUGCAAAAUGAUAUCCAUUAUGAAUUUGACUGAUUGUGCAAAUUGCUUUUUUUUAAGAAAUAUAAAGGUGAUACACAUUGAUUGACUCAUCUACUUCAAAGUAUGAGGAAAACUGGAAAAUUAAACCAUGUUUUACUGUACAUGUAAAGUGGAACUAUUCUUUUUUUGAUUUAGUAAAACAUUUCAUAGCAUCAUAAUAUUGUAUAGGUUACUAUGAAAUGAAUCUGUCUAAAAUCCAAACAACAUAACUAUGAGUUCACAAAUUAUUGUGAGGUUACGGUUAAUUCAAAUAAUUAGGUUUCACAAUAAUAAAAAGUAGCAUUCAUUAUAUCAGGAGUGAAUUCCCUAAACAAUUGAAAAUAAUGGAUUCACACAUGUACAAGAGAGUUGAAAUAUGUCAUACAGAAAUUGGGCGGAAUAUUCCGUAGGAAUUAGUCAUACUUAAAUUGCAUCACAAUGAAUUUAACAGCAUAAUGAAAAUAUAACUACUGAAGUGAUGCCAUCUAGUCAAAUAAGCUGAUAUCCUACUGAGCAACUAUGAAAAAAAAUAUAUAAAACAAUAAGCUUAAAUAUUUAUAUUUGAAAAUAAAAAGAACAUCUGAAAUGUGAAAUCAUUUCCUUUUUC
rnacentral:lncRNA from 1 species